GAUGAAGAACGCAGCGAAAUGCGAUAAGUAAUGUGAAUUGCAGAAUUCAGUGAAUCAUCGAAUCUUUGAACUCACAUUGCGCCCCUUGGUAUUCCGAGGGGCAUGCCUGUUCGAGCGUCAUUACACCACUCAAGCUAUGCUUGGUAUUGGGCGUCGUCCUUAGUUGGGCGCGCCUUAAAGACCUCGGCGAGGCCACUCCGGCUUUAGGCGUAGUAGAAUUUAUUCGAACGUCUGUCAAAGGAGAGGAACUCUGCCGACUGAAACCUUUAUUUUUCUAGGUUGACCUCGGAUCAGGUAGGGAUACCCGCUGAACUUAAGCAUAUCAAUAAGCGGAGGA
rnacentral:misc_RNA from 1 species